CACACCGCAUGGCCGCGCAGGGGGACGUCAGUUACGUCACUCGGAUUGCGCCCGGUGAGAAGGAUCGCUGCGCUGGAUGGAGGAUGAGAAUGCGCUGACAUAGUGAGGAGACGUCUGGGCGUCACAUUCUACAGACAGAAGAUUUAGCUGGACCAGGCGUUAUACCCUGUAUUGUGCCGAGAAGUCCUCCAUUGCCAAGUAUUCCAAGAAGUCCUCCUCCUCCAAGCAGUCCACCAAGCAGACCACCAUUUCCUAGGAUGCCACCAUUAAUAUGAGGAUCUGCAUAACC